AGAUAUAUAUUUAAAAAUUAUAAAAUCUAAUUUGCAAUUAGAAAUUGCUAAAAAGCUUUAUCUG
rnacentral:tRNA from 1 species